rnacentral:sRNA from 2 species
UUGCAUUUGAAGCCCAUGAGGAUGAGAACCUCCGGGGGCGGGGAGGUUCGACUCGAGCGAAGCGAGAGAACGUUGCGCCAGCAACGGCCCGCAGGGCGAGCCACGAAGUGGCGA